GACGAACGCUGGCGGCGUGCUUAACACAUGCAAGUCGAACGGAAAGGCCCUGCUCUUGUGGGGUGCUCGAGUGGCGAACGGGUGAGUAACACGUGAGUAACCUGCCCUUGUCUUUGGGAUAACUUCAGGAAACUGGGGCUAAUACCGGAUAGGAGCUCCUGCUGCAUGGUGGGGGUUGGAAAGUUUCGGCGGUUGGGGAUGGACUCGCGGCUUAUCAGCUUGUUGGUGGGGUAGUGGCUUACCAAGGCUUUGACGGGUAGCCGGCCUGAGAGGGUGAACGGCCACAUUGGGACUGAGAUACGGCGCAGACUCGUACGGGAGGCAGCAGUGGGGAAUAUUGCACAAUGGGCGGAAGCCUGAUGCAGCAACGCCGCGUGCGGGAUGACGGCCUUCGGGUUGUAAACCGCUUUCGCCUGUGACGAAGCGUGAGUGACGGUAAUGGGUAAAGAAGCACCGGCUAACUACGUG
rnacentral:rRNA from 1 species